CCUACGGGUGGCAGCAGUGAGGAAUAUUGGUCAAUGGGCGCAAGCCUGAACGAGCAAUGCAGCGUGAACGAGGAAGGUCUUCGGAUUGUAAAGUUCUGUUGAAGGGGAAAAAGAGUGGAGAGAGGAAAUGGUCUCCGAUUGAUAUUACCAUUCGAGGAAGUCACGGCUAACUACGUGCCAGCAGCCGCGGUAAUGCGUAGGUGGCGAGCUUUAUCCGGAAUGAUUGGGAGUAAAGGGUGCGUAGGCGGCCGGUUAGGUCUGGAAUGAAAGUUACCGGCUCAACCGGUACAGGCUCUGGAAACUGGCAGGCUAGAGUGCAGGAGAGGGCGGCGGAACUCGAUGUGUAGCGGUGAAAUGCGUAGAUAUAUGGAAGAACACCAGUGGCGAAGGCAGUCGCCUGGCCUGUUACUGACGCUGAGGCACGAAAGCGUGGGGAGCAAAUAGGAUUAGAUACCCUUGUAGUC
rnacentral:rRNA from 1 species